rnacentral:lncRNA from 1 species
GGAAGCUUAUAAGAUGAGCCAGCUGUUCUUGGGUGGCCAUUUUCAGUUAAGUGACAUGCUAACAUAAAUUAAGCAUAUGUGGUUUGAGAACUGUUUUGUAAAGAACUUCCUUACAAGUGAAUCUAGACUUUUUUUUUUUUUUUUUUUUUGAGAUGGAGUUUCAUUCUUGUUGCCCAGGCUGGAGUGCAAUGGCGUGAUCUCAGCUCAUUGCAACCUCUGCCUCCCAGGUUCAGGUGAUUCUCCUGCCUAAGCCUCCUGAGUAGCUGGGAUUACAGGCACUCGCCACAACGCCCAGUUAAGUUUUGUAUUUUUAGUAGAGACGGGGUUUCACCAUGUUGGCCAGGCUGGUCUCAAACUCCUGACCUCAGGUGAUCCACCCGCCUUGGCCUCUGUAAUUGAUAGAGUUACAGACGUGAGCCACCAAGCCCAGCCCACUAGACAAGUUUUAAGAUCAUGUGCUUCCCAACAUGAAGAGUUCAAAAAUAGACCAGAGGACCAUCAUCCUGGGUGUUGUGGAGGAAAUUCCACACUGAGUGAGUGGUGAAUGCUGCUGACCUGGAAGGUGAUCCUAUGCCAAAAAUGGAUGGUUUUUGGACCAGUCGUCAUGGCAUAAUUACAAUAGCCUGGGCAUGUAAGAAGCUUGGAAAUCAUCACUCAUGUAUUUACAAGAAGAAAAAAACUGAACAAACUGAAAAUCAUUGGCUCUCCAUCAACACUCAGAGGACUGAAGCUGCAUGGCAAUUUGACACCCUGAAAUCUGGAGAGACAGAUGGAUACAGAGAGUCACAGCCAAGAUCUCACCAGGAGCAGAUGCCUCUGGAGCCACAAACUGUGCUAUAAAGACAUACCAGAGAGGGUAAUUUAUAAAGAAAAGAGGUUUAAUUGACUCGCAGUUCUGCAUGGCUGGGGAGGCCCCAGGAAACUUACAAUCAUGGCAGAAGGGGAAGAGGCACCUCUUACAUGGCAACAGGUGAGAGAGAGAAGUGCAUGAAGGAGGAAAAGCCCCACACUUAUCAAACAAACAGAUCUCAUGAGAACUCACUCACUAUCAUGAGAACAUCAUGGGGGCAACUGCCCCCAGGAUCCAAUCACCUCCCACCAGGUUUCGCCCACAACUCAUGGGGAUUAUGGGGAUUACAAUUCAAGAUGAG